rnacentral:rRNA from 1 species
GUGGGGAAUUUUGGACAAUGGGGGCAACCCUGAUCCAGCCAUUCCGCGUGAGUGAAGAAGGCCUUCGGGUUGUAAAGCUCUUUCGGCAGGAACGAAACGGUGAGCUCUAACAUAGCUCGCUAAUGACGGUACCUGAAGAAGAAGCACCGGCUAACUACGUGCCAGCAGCCGCGGUAAUACGUAGGGUGCGAGCGUUAAUCGGAAUUACUAGGCGUAAAGCGUGCGCAGGCGGUUGCGUAAGACAGGUGUGAAAUCCCCGGGCUUAACCUGGGAACUGCGCUUGUGACUGCACGGCUAGAGUAUGGCAGAGGGGGGUGGAAUUCCACGUGUAGCAGUGAAAUGCGUAGAGAUGUGGAGGAACACCGAUGGCGAAGGCAGCCCCCUGGGCCAAUACUGACGCUCAUGCACGAAAGCGUGGGGAGCAAACAGGAUUAGAAACCCCAGUAGUCC